AUUGAACGCUGGCGGCAUACUUUACACAUGCAAGUCGAACGGCAGCGGGGAGGAGCUUGCUUCUCUGCCGGCGAGUGGCGAACGGGUGAGUAAUACAUCGGAACGUGUCGAGAAGAGGGGGAUAACCACCCGAAAGGGUGGCUAAUACCGCAUAAAUUCUGAGGAAGAAAGCUGGGGACCUGGGAAUAGGCCUAGCGCUUUUUGAGCGGCCGAUGUCGGAUUAGCUAGUUGGUGAGGUAAAGGCUCACCAAGGCGAAGAUCUGUAGCGGGUCUGAGAGGAUGAUCCGCCACACUGGGACUGAGACACGGCCCAGACUCCUACGGGAGGCAGCAGUGGGGAAUUUUGGACAAUGGGGGCAACCCUGAUCCAGCCAUGCCGCGUGUAUGAAGAAGGCCUUAGGGUUGUAAAGUACUUUUGUUAGGGAAGAAAAGUCAGCUGUGAAUAAUGGCUGAUACUGACGGUACCUAAAGAAUAAGCACCGGCUAACUACGUG
rnacentral:rRNA from 1 species